AUUGAACGCUGGCGGCAGGCCUAACACAUGCAAGUCGAACGAGUGGCGGACGGGUGAGUAAUGUCUGGGAAACUGCCCGAUGGAGGGGGAUAACUACUGGAAACGGUAGCUAAUCCCGCAUACCAUCGGAUGUGCCCAGAUGGGAGUAGCUAGUAGGGGGGGUAACGGCUCACCUAGGCGACGAUACCUAGCUGGUCUGAGAGGAUGACCAGCAGCACGGGACAUGAGACCAGGUCCAGACUCCUACGGGAGGCAGAAGUGGGGAAUAUUGCGCAUAGGGCGCAAGCCUGAUGCAGCCAUGCCGCGUGUAUGAAGAAGGCCUUCGGGGUGUAAAGUACUGUCAGCGAGGAGGCGUUACUCGCAGAAGAAGCACCGGCUAACUCCGUGCCAGCCGCCGCGGUAAUUC
rnacentral:rRNA from 1 species